UGUAUCCACUAGAUGCAUCUAAAUGUGAACUAGUUGAAAAAAAAUAAAAUAAUAAAAUAAAAUUACACAAAAAAAAGUUGUUUGGAAGAUGAUAUUUAAACCCAGCUUGAUUGAUUUGCAUACACCUGUUCUCCAUUUUGGGAAUUGGAAAGCUACUCGUGUUUAUUUUCUUGCUGUUUAGUCCCGAUUCCUCUCUCUCACUCUCUCUCUCAAAUUCUAUUUUUUAAUUACUGUUUUGCAUUGUACGAGGGAUGAUGAUUCGGAGGAGCUAGAGAAACGCAAUGUAUUGUUAAUGGGUCCAACUGGCUCAGAUUGCAUUGUUGAAUAUGCAUCCAUUAUUUAAAGAAAGGGCGACAUUCCAAGCACUCACACUUUCUUUCCUUGCUAGCUAAAUUGGCUGACAAACUAAAGAAGUUAGUGGAGGAUGAAAUUCAUUUUCUCAAGGGAAGAGUUUUAGAACUUGAAAGUGAUCUUGUGUCGAAGUCCACAGAAAUUAUAUCUGCAGUUUCAAGGAAAGAAGAAGCUCUAUCUUCUGCAUUUGCUGAAAUUGACCGUCUGAAGGAAGAAAAUUCUGUAAAAACGUGAGCAUUAUUGAAUGCAUAUGGAGGGUGUUUACUGUGUUGGAGUGUAUUUGUUUCUUGUACAUGAGGGCACGCCUUAGUUGUAAUUCUUAUGAUAGGUUGAGCAAAGUGAAGUAUUGUUUAUUUAGAAAUGUGAAUGUAGGAUGCAUUGUAUGAUUUGAUUGCUAUUUGUAAUAAAUGCAUCAUUUUUUUUUCUGAUUGCAUUUUA